GCCCUUGUUGAUCCUGCCGGAGGCCACUGCUAUCGGGGUCCGACUAAGCCAUGCGAGUCAUGGGGCUCCCUUCGGGGAGCACCGGCGCACGGCUCAGUAACACGUGGCUAACCUACCCUCGGGUGGGGGAUAACCUCGGGAAACUGAGGCUAAUCCCCCAUAGGGGAGGAGGUCUGGAAUGAUCCCUCCCCGAAAGGCGUAAGCCGCCCGAGGAUGGGGCUGCGGCGGAUUAGGUAGUUGGUGGGGUAACGGCCCACCAAGCCUACGAUCCGUACGGGCCCUGAGAGGGGGAGCCCGGAGAUGGACACUGAGACACGGGUCCAGGCCCUACGGGGCGCAGCAGGCGCGAAACCUCCGCAAUGCGCGAAAGCGCGACGGGGGGACCCCGAGUGCCCACGCUCUGCGUGGGCUUUUCCGGAGUGUAAACAGCUCCGGGAAUAAGGGCUGGGCAAGUCCGGUGCCAGCAGCCGCGGUAAUACCGGCGGCCCAAGUGGUGGCCACUGAUAUUGGGCCUAAAGCGUCCGUAGCCGGCCCGGUAAGUCUCUGCUUAAAUCCUGCGGCUCAACCGCAGGGCUGGCAGAGAUACUGCCGGGCUUGGGACCGGGAGAGGCC
rnacentral:rRNA from 1 species